UGCGUGGUGUGUGUGUGUGUGUGUGUGUGUGUGUGUGUGUGUGUGUGUGUGUCUUUCCUAGCAGGCAAAGAAACAGACAGCACAAACUAAG
rnacentral:miRNA from 10 species